rnacentral:lncRNA from 1 species
GUGUUUUCUGCCCAAUAACUGACUUGAGCGUCGGAGUGCAAACGGCCGUGAGGGCGCCAUUUGUCUCUCUGUUUCAGGUGUUUACGGUGGAGGAAGGAGAACGUUGGAGCAGGAGCAAAGGGUUCUUGAAGCGCAGCUCGUAGAGACGCACAAAGGUGUUCAGGUCAACCGGCGGGAACAAAAAGCAAAUCUAAACAGAAAACACAAAAUUGCAUGGAAUCCUACACAAAAUUGCACACAGAUUGCUUAAGAACAAUUGAACAAGAUGCACC